UCAGAAAGCAUCGUACCUUCGUGGACAAUGCCUUUCCAUAAGAAAAGGAAUUUAUGAAUUCCUACAAGAAGAUGAUACCAAGAGUUGAGAGGAAAAGAAGGAAUAUAAAGCACAGAUGAGAUCGUACAACCUUUGGGAAGACUAAUCAUGUAACCAACAUUGAAGCCACAGACCAUAUACAUCAGGUUGAAGUCAAUACUUCUAUAUCCAAUUUCCAACCGAAGAAGAGAUCUUGCACAUACUUCAUGGCUCGGCUCCAGGCUUUCCCCAGUCAGAGACCGUCCAAGAUUGCAGGACCAUGUUGGCUUUGAGCUAUUCACCGUCAAAUAGCCAGCACUUUGGAGCUGUAUUGUGCAGCUUCAGGGGUUUGACUCAACCCACUGGAUCUUUAAUCAGCUCAAGCCCUCCAAAUGAGAUCUUCAAGGAUGAUCUAACUCAACACCCAUUCUUAGCAGGAAGUAGUUUCAGAAGAUGAGAUCAUCGCCCCAU